AGCUAAUAAGUUUUAUAGAAACGUAUAUCUUGAAAAUAUAAGAAAGAGUUACUCUAUUGGCUU
rnacentral:tRNA from 1 species